rnacentral:rRNA from 1 species
GUGCGUACAACAUGGAUAACCUACCAUAAGGUCUGGGAUAACCUCGGGAAACCGAAGCUAAUACCAGAUAAGACCACAUUAUCUGCGGAUAAAGGGGUAAAAGUUUUUCGCCUUUUGAUGGGUCCAUGCUCCAUCAGGUUGUUGGUGAGGUAAAAGCUCACCAAGCCUAAGACGGAUAGCCGGCCUUAGCGGGUGAUCGGCCACACGGGGACUGAGACACGGCCCCGACUCCUACGGGAGGCAGCAGUGGGGAAUAUUGGGCAAUGGGCGAAAGCCUGACCCAGCCAUGCCGCGUGAAGGAUGAAGGCCUUCGGGUCGUAAACUUCUGUCAGUAGGGACGAUGGGACUUCGGUCUUGACGGUACCUACAAAGGAAGCCCCGGCUAACUCCGUGCCAGCAGCCGCGGUAAUACGGAGGGGGCAAGCGUUGCUCGGAUUUACUGGGCGUAAAGGGUCCGCAGGCGGUUGAGCAAGUUAGAUGUGAAAGCUCAAGGCUUAACCUUGGAACUGCAUCUAAAACUGCUCGACUAGAGUCCAAGAGGGGUCGGCGGAAUUCCCGGUGUAGCGGUGAAAUGCGUAGAUAUCGGGGAGGGAACACCAGUGGCGAAGGCGGCCGACUGGCUUGGAACUGACGCUCAGGGACGAAAGCGUGGGUAGCGAACCGGGAUUAAA